UACGAAGGGGGCUAGCGUUGCUCGGAAUCACUGGGCGUAAAGCGCACGUAGGCGGAUUGCUAAGUCAGGGGUGAAAUCCUGGAGCUCAACUCCAGAACUGCCUUUGAUACUGGCGAUCUUGAGUCCGGGAGAGGUGAGUGGAACUGCGAGUGUAGAGGUGAAAUUCGUAGAUAUUUCGCAAGAACACCAGUGGCGAAGGCGGCUCACUGGCCCCGGUACUGACGCUGAGGGUGCGAAAAGCGUGGGGGAGCAAAACAGG
rnacentral:rRNA from 1 species